UACGUAGGGUGCGAGCGUUAAUCGGAAUUACUGGGCGUAAAGCGUGCGCAGGCGGUGAUGUAAGACAGUUGUGAAAUCCCCGGGCUCAACCUGGGAAUUGCAUCUGUGACUGCAUCGCUAGAGUACGGUAGAGGGGGAUGGAAUUUCGCGUGUAGCAGUGAAAUGCGUAGAUAUGCGGAGGAACACCGGUGGCGAAGGCGAUCCCUUGGACCUGUACUGACGCUCAGGCACGAAAGCGUGGGGAGCAAACAGG
rnacentral:rRNA from 1 species